GGGAGAGCUAGGCUGGCGCGCUAGUCCUGCGUUGUUACCGUGAGCGGACUUUACACGGAGCCGAAACCCAAAGAAGGGCCUAUCUUGUUUUAUUGGUCCCUGCUGUCUUUGUUGACGGCUUGUCCUCUGGGAUGGUCAUACUGGGAAUCAGGUCAGACCCUGACGGGAGCAGCCUUAACCUGUAUGUUCCUUGUUCAGAGGGUCGCAAGUUUGAGAAGCUGUAGGGAAUCACCAGUGAGGCUUGGUUAGUUCGACCGCGGGUGUGCCCC
rnacentral:SRP_RNA from 1 species